AGUGAACGCUGGCGGUAGGCCUAACACAUGCAAGUCGAACGGCAGCACAGUAAGAGCUUGCUCUUACGGGUGGCGAGUGGCGGACGGGUGAGGAAUACAUCGGAAUCUACUUUUUCGUGGGGGAUAACGUAGGGAAACUUACGCUAAUACCGCAUACGACCUACGGGUGAAAGCAGGGGAUCUUCGGACCUUGCGCGAUUGAAUGAGCCGAUGUCGGAUUAGCUAGUUGGCGGGGUAAAGGCCCACCAAGGCGACGAUCCGUAGCUGGUCUGAGAGGAUGAUCAGCCACACUGGAACUAAGACAUGGUCCAGACUCCUACGGGAGGCAGCAGUGGGGAAUAUUGGACAAUGGGCGCAAGCCUGAUCCAGCCAUACCGCGUGGGUGAAGAAGGCCUUCGGGUUGUAAAGCCCUUUUGUUGGGAAAGAAAAGCAGCAGGUUAAUACCCCGCUGUUCUGACGGUACCCAAAGAAUAAGCACCGGCUAACUUCGUG
rnacentral:rRNA from 1 species